UUCAAUACAAGACAAGUUUCAUGGCGUUGUAAAGCAGGAGUUUCUUUUCGGUAGAUAUGCAGAAGCUCAAAUUCCCAACUCUAUAGGCUGUACUGUGUCAUCUCGGACCAGGUGUUGAAGAAGUGCCAGUACGUGGUCCGGUCGGCUACGGCAUGGCUGAGCUGGUGGCAACGAUGACGCCAUAAGCGAGCUCGGUAACCUGUGCAGCCUGGACAGGGUGGGAUGGAGAUCCAGCGUCAUGUCGUCGUACAGCAGCCCGGUCAAUGGGAA
rnacentral:lncRNA from 1 species